AGUGAACGCUGGCGGCAGGCCUAACACAUGCAAGUCGAACGGCAGCACAGAGGAGCUUGCUCCUUGGGUGGCGAGUGGCGGACGGGUGAGGAAAACGUCGGAAUCUGCCUAUUUGUGGGGGAUAACGUAGGGAAACUUACGCUAAUACCGCAUACGACCUACGGGUGAAAGCGGAGGACCUUCGGGCUUCGCGCAGAUAGAUGAGCCGACGUCGGAUUAGCUAGUUGGCGGGGUAAAGGCCCACCAAGGCGACGAUCCGUAGCUGGUCUGAGAGGAUGAUCAGCCACACUGGAACUGAGACACGGUCCAGACUCCUACGGGAGGCAGCAGUGGGGAAUAUUGGACAAUGGGCGCAAGCCUGAUCCAGCCAUGCCGCGUGUGUGAAGAAGGCCUUCGGGUUGUAAAGCACUUUUGUCCGGAAAGAAAAGCACUGGGUUAAUACCCUGGUGUCAUGACGGUACCGGAAGAAUAAGCACCGGCUAACUUCGUGCCAGCAGCCGCGGUAAUACGAAGGGUGCAAGCGUUACUCGGAAUUACUGGGCGUAAAGCGUGCGUAGGCGGUUUGUUAAGUCUGAUGUGAAAGCCCUGGGCUCAACCUGGGAAUGGCAUUGGAUACUGGCAAUCUAGAAUGUGGUAGAGGGUGGCGGAAUUCCCGGUGUAGCAGUGAAAUGCGUAGAUAUCGGGAGGAACAUCCGUGGCGAAGGCGGCCACCUGGACCAACAUUGACGCUGAGGCACGAAAGCGUGGGGAGCAAACAGGAUUAGAUACCCUGGUAGUCCACGCCCUAAACGAUGCGAACUGGAUGUUGGGCUCAAUUGAGAGCUCAGUAUCGAGGCUAACGCGUUAAGUUCGCCGCCUGGGAAGUACGGUCGCAAGACUG
rnacentral:rRNA from 1 species